rnacentral:lncRNA from 1 species
AUGAGUAAGGCGAGGGGCACCCGAGGCUCGACCUAGGGAGGCGGCUGGGAAGCUUACAAGAAAGCACUGAGGGGCAAAGCGAGGGCGGACGGUCAACGUAUAAUCAACACCCCCGGGCUUCCCCUUUAGGAGAAAAAAAAAAAUAGGUGGGGACCUAGCCGCGGAAAGAAAAUGGAAGGAGCUACGAAGAGGGGGCGGGAGCACCCUAGACCACUCGGGCCGACACACCCGCAGCCACCCACUUAAUGAAAGGGAGCGCUCGCUGCAAACGCCCUGCUUUGUAAAAAAGAAAGCCGGGAAGACCCAGCUGCGCGCUUCGAGCCGGCCUCCAGCCUCUGGCGCGCUCGCUCGCUCACACACGCGUACACACACACAGACACACGCGCACACACGCGCCGAGCCGCCGGGUCCGCGGACGUGCCAAGUGACCCGAAAGAGAAACAGAGAGACUGGGGGUGGGGGACGAAUGGAGGGGAGAGUGGGAAGGAGGCAGGCAGAGGGAGAGAGAGUUUGCACUAAGCUCCAGCCCCCGGCAGCGACUGACCAAUUCUGCCACCGCGCCGCCAGCCCAAGCAGCCAGACUCGCCCCGCCCCGCCCCUUGUGACGCCACAGGCGUAUCGUCAGCACGUCCGCACGGCGGGGGAGGGUAAAAGGAAGGAGGUGGGCUCGGUAGCCUCGCCCUCUUGCCUAAAUUCUGAAGGUCUUCUUAAACUGCACAGUAUUCUCCAAAAAUCAAAGUCUCUAGAGGAAUUCUCUAUCAAUACAGAAUUUCUCUUCCUUCUAGAUUGUGUGUUGGAUAUUCUCCAUGAUGGUAACAACUACUUUUGGCAGGCAAGAAUCUCCCUGUUUUAUGCUUCACUUGAUGUCGAUGAUGAAAAGAUCAUCAGAUAAAGUUAUCUUUUUCUUAAAGUUGAUCAAAGAAUCUAGUAUGAUCUUAUCAUGAAUACAAACAAUACCGACAUUAUAAGAGAUUUUAAGAGUGUAUUUUGUUCUAGUCAAUGAAAUGCUUUAAAAACAAUAAUAAAAAACCAAUAAACAUAGUGAUAUGUAUUUUC